rnacentral:rRNA from 1 species
AGAGUUUGAUCAUGGCUCAGGAUGAACGCUAGCGGCAGGCCUAAUACAUGCAAGUCGAACGGAGCAGCAAUGCUCAGUGGCGCACGGGUGCGUAACGCGUAUGCAACCUACCUUUCAGUGGGGGAUAGCCCGGGGAAACCCGGAUUAAUACCGCAUAAUAUAGUUAAAUGGCAUCAUUUGAUUAUUAAACAUUUAUGGCUGAAAGAUGGGCAUGCGUAAGAUUAGCUAGUUGGCGAGGUAGUAGCUCACCAAGGCAAUGAUCUUUAGGGGUUCUGAGAGGAAGAUCCCCCACACUGGUACUGAGAUACGGACCAGACUCCUACGGGAGGCAGCAGUAGGGAAUAUUGGGCAAUGGAGGCAACUCUGACCCAGCCAUGCCGCGUGCAGGAAGAAGGCCUUCUGGGUUGUAAACUGCUUUUGGAAGGGAACAAAACGGCUCUGCGGAGCAACUUGAGUGUACCUUCAGAAUAAGCACCGGCUAACUCCGUGCCAGCAGCCGCGGUAAUACGGAGGGUGCAAGCGUUGUCCGGAUUUAUUGGGUUUAAAGGGUGCGUAGGCGGCUUAUUAAGUCAGGGGUGAAAGACUGCAGCUCAACUGUAGCAGUGCCUUUGAUACUGAUGAGCUUGAGUACAGAUGAGGCUGGCGGAAUGGGUGGUGUAGCGGUGAAAUGCAUAGAUACCAUCCAGAACACCGAUUGCGAAGGCAGCCGGCUAAACUGUCACUGACGCUGAGGCACGAAAGCGUGGGGAUCGAACAGGAUUAGAUACCCUAGUAGUCC